rnacentral:rRNA from 1 species
UACGGAGGGGGCAAGCGUUGUUCGGAAUUACUGGGCGUAAAGCGCGCGUAGGCGGCGAUGCAAGUCAGAGGUGAAAUGCCCGGGCUCAACCUGGGAGGUGCCUUUGAUACUGUGUUGCUUGGAUCCAGGAGAGGUGAGCGGAAUUCCGAGUGUAGAGGUGAAAUUCGUAGAUAUCCGGAGGAACACCAGUGGCGAAGGCGACUUCCUGGGCCAAUACUGACGCUGAGGUGCGAAAGCGUGGGGAGCAAACAGGAUUAGAUACCCCCGUAGUCC